UACGGAGGGUGCAAGCGUUAUCCGGAUUCACUGGGUUUAAAGGGUGCGUAGGUGGGUUGAUAAGUCAGUGGUGAAAUCCCCGAGCUUAACUUGGGAACUGCCAUUGAUACUAUUGAUCUUGAAUACCGCGGAGGUCAGCGGAAUAUGUCAUGUAGCGGUGAAAUGCUUAGAUAUGACAUAGAACACCAAUUGCGAAGGCAGCUGGCUACGCGAAUAUUGACACUGAUGCACGAAAGCGUGGGGAUCAAACAGG
rnacentral:rRNA from 1 species